AUCUGAUUUCUCUAGUGUCUAUAAUAAAAUUAGGUUUAGUGUUUUCAUGGGGAAGCCUACACGCUGUGUUUUAGGUUAAAAGGCAUUGUGAGAUCCUGGAAGGUAUCUUGUUCACUAUUAUUUCCAUUUCUGUUUUUAAUUAGUUAGCUGAUGAACAAAAAGUCUCUCUCUCUUCCUGUGUGUUGUUUUUGUUGCUAUCACAGCACAGAACUUUCUAGCUUCUGGGGUUUGCUUAUUUGUUUGAGAUUUUCUAGGGGGAAAUUACUGAUGGUAUAGCCACAGGUAGUAUAUUUCCACGCUUUUUGAAUAUUACAUUUCUGAGGCACUGCAGUACACGAGAGCGCUGGAAUGGAUAUCAUGUCUGCCUUCUGCUGGCUCAGGAACUUCCGCACAAUGAUUCAUCCUUAACUUGUUUCCUGUUGUUGCUUCUAGUAGAUUGGGACAACUUCCCUACCGUCAUCUCUUCUCAGGAUGAAUUGGUGUGUUCGAACUGAAUCUGUAUCUUUCUAUGAAAUGUCCAAUUUACAGCCUUAUAGUCAUCUACACAAAAUUAUGCAUAUUGCUCACUUAUAUUAAAGAUUCCCAGUUCUAUGUCUAAAAUUUUUAUAGAGUUAUCUUUUAAAUACUGUUGAUGCAUUUCAACUCUUUUUGGCUCUUUCUUUCUCUUACACUAGCCACAGUUGUAUAUGUUUUGUAUGGGCUUUUAAAAGAAACUUUGAUAUUAUUGAUAAUCUAUGUGUGUUCAAGUUCUUUUGGAUGUCCUAUUCUUCAUAUUUAUCCUUAGUACAUUGAUCCUUUCUUUAGCUUUUCAUAUUGCAAGUCUAGUUCUUUUAAUUUUAUUUUUACAUAUACUAAUAUAUGUAGCAUACAUAUGUGUGCAUGUAUGUAUUUGGCUGUGUACAUAUGGAAGUUAGGGGGAAGCCUGCAUGUGGGAGCUCCCUCUCUUUCCCCAUAUGGGUUCAGGGAGUGCAACUUGGGUUAUCAGUCCUUUUACUGACUGAGCCAUCUCUUCCACCCUUCUCUAGUCUCCUAAAUAUUAUUCUUAAAUGUCUUUGUAACCCAAGAGUUAUUAAAAGACUUUAAUAUUUUCACUUGUAAUAAAAUGUUUGUCAUAGUAGUAGUGCAGCUAUAGUUUUGCUUUUCAUAUUUGAUCAUAUUUCUGGUGGGGAAAUGACAUAGAACUUUCCUCCCAGGAGAGAUUUAGUUAAUUUCCCUUGUGGUUUAAUGCAUUCAUGAUUUUAGAGAACAUUAUACAUAUAUAGCUGAAAAGCGUGCAAAAUCCAUUUACCCUAUUUGAAGCAAUGUCUUACCUAUUGCCUGUCAGUUGGGUUUGACUUUCUGAGAGGAAUUCCUGUGGAUCUAUUAGUCUGCCAUAUACUUGCAUCUGUUUAUUUGUUUUGAGACAGGGUCUCACUCUACAGCCUUGGCUGACCUGGAACACACUGUAUAGACCAGGCUGGCCUCUGCUUCUAAUAAAAGUACCUGUUUAUUACAUAUAUCUCAAAGAUAUGUCAUAAAUUCUUAUAAGGUUAUGAAAGCAAAAUAAAUUGUGGCUGGGCAGUGGUGGUGCAUACCUUUAAUCCCAGCACUCGGAGGUAGAGGUGAGUGGAUCUCUAUGAAUUCAAGGCCAGCCUGGUCUACAAAGUGAGUUCUAGGGCAGCCAGGGCUGUUAAACCUGUGUGUGUGUGUGUGUGUGUGUGUGUAUGUGUGUGUGUGUGUGUGUGUGUGUGUGUGUGUGAGAGAGAGAGAGAGAGAGAGAGAGAGAGAGAGAGAGAGAGAGAGCGCAAAAACAAAGCAAAGAAUGUGAAGGAGUUACAUUUUAUCAUGAAUGUAAGACAUUUUCUUCUUUCAUUCCUUUUGCCUUGAAUUGGCUUUCAACUUAAACAUUUUUUUUUCUUUUUGUUGACUUUAUUUUAUACAUGUUUCUUACCUUUCGUUUUCACAUUUUCUGUCUGUUGAUCUUGAUGGUCUGUCCUAUACAGCACUCUGCUUUCCCUUCUCAUGACCUGGCUCGUUGUGAACGCUGCCCUGACUUGAGAAUAAACAGACAAAAUGAGCAUAUGCUAUGGACAGCCAUGAAAAUCUAGCGGAUUUACCACAUGAGAUUUCACACUUCCCAAGUUUGGUCUGAAUUCCUUCUUUUCCUUGGCUUGAUUACAUUUCAUAUUUUCAUAUUUUGCUGACUUAAAUUUUUUUCUUUUGUUUGAUUGGCAUGGCAAUGACAUAUUCUUCGUGAAGAUUAUUCUCAUGUUUAACUGAUGAAAUGACAAUUAUCCACUUCUACUAAGUACAGAAUUGAAUAGUUUCUAUGUCAUUCCUGAGCAAGGUAACAAAUUUUAGCAUACUUAUAAAGCUUAUUUAAACAUUGAAUCACAUCUAUCUAUCUAUCUAUCUAUCCUCUGUGUGUGUGUCUGUGUCUGUCUGUCUGUCUGUUAUCUAUAUUGAAGUGUGUUAGGUUGUACAAUGUGGGGUUGUCAGUUUUCUUUUUGGUUUCCUGAUAACAAACUCAGGUGAGCAUGGUCAAGGCAAGCAUCUUUAGUGCUGAGCCGUCUCUGCAUGUUCCAUGGCACACUUUGUGAUACCCAGUCUCCCUGUGUCCCUUUCCCCGUGGUGCUAACAUCAGUAUUUCAUUCUUGAUAUUUAAAAUGCACGAACAAUCACCUAGACCCUGGACUCCAUAGUUUCCUUGUCCUGUAAUUCAAAGUUUUGUGUAUGGUGCCUUUCUUUGGGCAGGGAAUAGCAUAACCUUCAUUUCUGAGUUUUAUAUCCUUAUGUAAUUCAGAAAUGUGAGGGUAUACAUUUUUAAAAUUCUCUCUCUUUUUAUUCUCCUUCUAAAUUGCAUUUGUUUGACCACCACUUUGAAUGUUCUCUGGCUCCGUGUAAAAUCUGAGCGCCAAAGCCAUAGCCUUCCCCUCUACCUUCUUCUGCCCUGGCUUACCCAUCAGUUCCUCUGUACACUGUAUCAGAUCUCCUUGAUUAUUGACUCUGCCACGUCAGCUCCAUGAAUCUUUUCAGCCAGGAAUGGUGACAUGGCUGAAUUCGGCUCUUUUUUCCCCCUCAUCAUCUUUUAACAUAACUCAUGAAUCACGUUUAACCCUGUAGCAUUGUUGCACCUAUGAUACCUCUUAGAAACUUUAUAGUGCAGUGAAGGUUGUAUGUAUGUGUCUUCUAUAUUCUCACCCUUUUUACAUAAUACCACUUGUGGUGUCUACACAUGAGAUUGCCAAGGCUAAGAGGAGUGAAUGUUCAAGAACUCCCAGCUCUCUAGUUUCCUAUUUCCACCAGGAGGCAAACCUCUGUUUUAGUGAUUUUUUUUUCUUUAGUUGCCUUGUUGUGAAUAUUUUAAUCUGUCCUUUCAAAAUCUUUCUUGCUUUCAGAAUUUCCUUUCCCUACAGAGUCCUCAUGUCAAAACCAAAGAAGGUGCGACUGACAAGAUGCCUUCCUGAGGAGGGUUUCAGGAACAGGAAAUGGCCAGGGUUGAACUGAAAUAAAAUUCUCUCAAAACAUCAACCACAACAGAAGAGCUGGGCUCCCAUACAGGAGGAAAUGAAUACUGUCUUUUUAUGUAGUUUAUAAAUUUGGUAUCAAUAUAGCUUGAACCAGGGCAGGGAAUAUCCCAAUGUCAAUUUGAAGCACAGGUCAUUGGAAAACAAACUCCUCCGUUCAAAUCCAUCACAUUACGAAGCAUUUCAAAUCAUUUGUAAACACUCUUGGUUUCACUAGAAAUUCUUGCGCCCUUCCUUCUGUCUGUGUUCAAUAUGUCCUGACUUUUCAACUGGCCUUUAGUGAGCAGUCUGUAUGACUCAUGUAACUUUGAUCUGGUUCUUCUGAGAAUUGUAAGACUUUUUUUUUUUAAAUCUGUGGAUGAGCCUGUCUCCUAUGUGUGUGUGUGUACACAUGUGCAUUCACAUAUGUGUGUGCAUGUUUUGGGUGUCAUUUCUCAGGAGCCUUCUACCUUAUUUUGCUGAGACAAAGCCUUCCAUUGUGGUCAGGGGCUGGCUGACUAGCAAGGCCACAGAUCCACUUGUGUCUCCACCCCUCAGAGCUGGGGUCGACAAGGACACAUCAUCACACCGGAAUUUGUGCUUGGGUGCUGAGGACAGAGUGCAGGUCCACAUGCUAGCAUGGCAAGCAGGCUCCCUAUACCCAUCCCCCCUAUCUUUUCCCAUCAGCUCUCUGACUUCUAAAUAUUCCCUUCAGGGACAAUGCUUCAGUUGGAAUGGCUGGUUUUGCACUGGAUACUUAGUAAGCAAGCCCAUGAAAGCUAGUUUUGGUUUUGUGGCUUGAUUGCUCAUCCUAAUGUAGUUCUGGGGUUGUGGGGGAGGUCAGCAUGUGCUCGCAUGGAUGAGUGUCCUCUUGAGUCAUGGGGCACCCUGCUUGGCAAGCUCUUUCUCCUCUGUGAAGGGUCGGUAGGAUGAGACAUGAGCUCAGGGGAGGAGGCAGCAGCUCUGCUUUGAUCCAUUGCAGGAUGUGUGCUAGACCUUUGAUGUUCACUUUUUAAUUGCGAGCUAAAAGCACACAGCUCUUUUCUACAGAUUGACAAGCUGAUGUUUGAGCCGUAGCCAAAUAACCCAGUUUAGUGAGCGGCUGAGUUUUGACUUUCAUAAACAUUUAAUGAAUACAUUUUUAUUUAUGUCAGUUUAAAAAAAAAUCCAGCUGCUGUUUGCAACCCCCCCCCCCCACCACCACCACCAAUUUUUUUACGCUAAUGCCAAAAUUAGAGUAUUUCUGGAUUUCUGGAUUUCCUGGGGAGCACCUGCACAGGUGGGAAAUUGGCAUAAACUAAAAGGGAGGACUCGCUGCUUCCCUGUGUGCGUGUGGGGCAUGCGUGCUGUUUUAGGAGGAACCCACCAUGUCACCUUCUCUCAAGACUCAGCCAUCUCUGCCUUUGGAUUUCAGAGGAAGGAGCAUUGUGGUACAGGAGCAAUGGGGCUUUCUGUGAUGGAGCCCCAGAUCAGCGGGGACUUCUAGUUCCUUCCCUGACCAUCUGUUUGACCUUUAGUCUACAGUGUCUGGAGACUUUGCCUUUCUGCCAAUUUGUAAAAUUCUAUUCUAUAGGGAGUGGAACGGAAUAUAAAUCUUGGGGGACUCUGAACUUCACAGCCAGUAUUGAACAUGUGCUCUGAGCUUUAAUACCUUCUUCAGUCUGAAAAUGAGCAGAACUUGCUUCAUAGAUAUGUUUGUCUCCAAAUAUUUUUAUUUGGAAGGUUUCAAAU
rnacentral:lncRNA from 1 species